AUUUAAAAUUGUGUCUAGCACUAUUACUUAACCAUUUCCAAUGGGAGGGUAACUUUUAUGGUCCUUUCUAAAACAAUGUUUGGUCCUCGAGUGACAGUAUUAGGAGAUACAUCUUGGGAUAAGCAGCUGACGUGACAGUGAUUCAAUUUUAAUUUUUUUUUCUCAAAACUGUUAUUAAAGAAAUACCUUGAAUCUUAAUAGCGAUUAUCUCAUAGGUUGUUAACAAUUAUAUAUAAAAGAGGAGUUGAAGCAGUUUAAAUAACAAGUCCGCAAGAUGAAGGGUUCAUUUCAAGUAAGUAGAUAUCCUUCCUUCAUUUUUUUGUGACAACCAAUUCCACUAUGAAAACGAAUAACAACAAUUUCUCGAUAUUUUUCUGUAUGGUCCUUAUCGUACACCAAAUGGGUACAGGAUAUUCACAGUUCCAGGCAGAAAGUCAGUUCGUCCCGACGAUAAUUCCAAAAGAUCCAAAUCAAGCGAGGCAAUUAUUGGGAUAUAACAAGUACGAUCGGUCGGAAGUGCGAAAUUCCGACAAAGCUGUUCUGUAUGGAAAUAACUGGGAACAGUUCGCUAAUUAGUAUUACCCAUUAAUAUGUACAUAAAUCUUUAAAUUAAAGGAGUAGGUCCUUG